UACCAGCACCCCCGAGUGGUCGGGACGAUUAUUGGGCCUAAAGCAUCCGUAGCCGGUCCUACAAGUCUUCCGUUAAAUCCACCUGCUUAACAGAUGGGCUGCGGAAGAUACUAUAGGGCUAGGAGGCGGGAGAGGCAAGCGGUACUCAGUGGGUAGGGGUAAAAUACCUCUGAUCCAUUGAAGACCACCAGUGGCGAAGGCGGCUUGCCAGAACGCGCUCGACGGUGAGGGAUGAAAGCUGGGGGAGCAAACCGG
rnacentral:rRNA from 1 species